ACUUAGCUAUAUAAAAAAUAUUUUCCAAUGGUAAGAAAUUAUUUUAAUGUUGCAGUUGAGGAAAAAGGGAGAUAUCUUAUCCAAGCAGAAACAAUAGUGUGACCUGACCCAAGAGAUAGGGAUGUAGUGACAUCCAUAGACAACAUGUUUUCAAAAGCCAGUGAGUCUUGCUCAAGCAGCUACUUUAUGGAACUUACAUAUUAAGAUACAGUCUAUAUCCAAAGAGCUAGUCCUCCUCCAUAACACAAUGGAAAAUAGGGGGGUUUUGUGUGGUUUUAGGGGAAACUUCCCUAAGGUAUUGGCCUGCCAUUUCUGAUAUACAGAAAUGCUUGGCUAAAGGAUCAUUGUGAGCACCUCACAAUGCUUAAUGGCAAGGGGCCUGGGGUCUCCAUGGAAACUGUAGGGCCUUUGUGUUCUCAUCCAUUCACCUCUGGGUUUAACUCUCAGUUACCCCCUGUCCUCAAUGAGUGAAAAGUUCCAUUUCCAGAGGUCCUGCCAGCCAUGGACCAUUGGUGGAAUCCAUGCUGCUGGAUAUAUUUGUAUUUCUGUGGAUGGCCACCAUGGAGAUAAAAGAUGAAGAUGUUCUUGAGGUGGAGAAGAAGCUGCUGGAGGAAGCCCUUGGCCUCACGCUCAGAGGCUUCUUCAGCACCUCCAGAGUUGAACUCCCCCAUUGGGUCCCCAGGCCAAUUUGCAGAGCCAGGCCUUUAAGCUCUUAUAGAAAGAUAGGAGAGUGGGGGCAGGUCUUACCCUGGAGGGCAGGAUGUUCCAAAGGGCAGGGGCUCCGGCAGAGAAAGAUCUUGUGGAUGCCAACAGUUGGAGUUCUUUGACCGAUGGGAUCUGUAAUAAGCCAUCUCUUCUUACCAUUAUAUUAUAUUAUGAUAUUGAACUGUAAUCUCUUUGGUACAUGGCUGAAAAACAUAUACAAGUAGCUCUCAACUUACAACAACAACUGAGCCCAAAAUUUUGAUUGAAAGUCAUUGUAGUUUUAAAUCAAGUCACCAUAUGACCAGACUUGAUUUUACAACUACUUUUACAACAAUUAUUAAGUGAAUCGGAUGGUCAUUAAAUGAAUGACCAUUA